CCACCAGAGCUAGAGCCGCAUUCUGUUUUAUGGCCUCUGACGUUUGUGUUUUUUAUUGAACUCAAAGUUCAUCGAGCUGAGCCACACCAUCCUCCACCCUCAAGGGGUGUCCCAUCGCCUCUCGCUCCCAUCCACACAUCCGUGCGGACAACUCCUGGGCCAUGUCUCAAUUCCACCUGCUCUCCACAUUGCUUGCCUAUGCACUCAUGCUGAUUUUUUCAGGCACAAAGGCUGAUUGUGCCCAUGGAAAUUACAGAGCUAGUUCCGGGCUGUGCUGCCGACUCUGCCCUGCCGGAACCUUCAAGGCUGAUGACUGCUCAACGGAGGGCGGGUACACCAUCUGCCUGUCCUGCAACCAUGGCUGGUACACCGAUGGGGACAACCAAGAAACCUGGUGCUUACCCUGCACAGUCUGCGGCCAACAUGAGGUCAUCCAGCAGGAUUGCAAAGCGACACAAAAUAGGAAGUGCAUCUGCGAUAUUGGAUUCUACCGACCAGAAAAAGGCGACCCCUGCCAGGAGAAAUCACACGUUGGUGCCAUUGCUAUUACGGCUGGCAUUCUAGGUUCGGCAUUUGUUGCUGGAGUUGCUUAUCUCACUUAUUGGUGGAGACGCCGACGACGUAGAGAUGCAGCAAGCAGAAAGAAAGCACUGGAAGAAGUAAAGUCUCUCUGUCUGAACGGUGUCCAUAAGAACGGAACAGUGCAACAACCACAACCAAGAGAUAAUUAGAAACAUCUAAUGAGCAGGGAGAAGACCAAGAACAAUGCCAACUAAAAGAGAAAACUAUCGACGAUGACCCGGCAUAGGAUCUGCAUUUAGGUCACGUUUGUCGUGUCAUUAUGAUCAAAUGUAAAUAAUUGGUUUAUAGAAGAAACCCCCAGAGAAGCAUUCCGCAAGUAUAUAACCAAGUUAAUGAGGGAAGAUUAGGCUUAUCUUAAGUUCAGAUGUUCCAUAUAUGCAUUGUCCUUGAAACUGAUUGGUACUGGCAAAGGAGGUCCAAUAAUGUAGAUGCUCACCCCGAGCCCUCAUUACUUUGAAAGUGCAUUGUCUUUGAGCUGUACGCCAUUUGGCGUCCUCUGGUCGAGCACCAAUUGGGUCGAGGCUCAAAAGAAAGCUGUCCCUUGGUGUGGACCAAUCAUUUUUAAGGACAAUGCAUAUAUUAUCAUCGUGUAUUUUUUGUUUGUAUUUGACUGCAGGUAUUGUGGUUAAUGCAGAUAUGAAUCCUUGUAAAAAAAGGUUUCAGUUUUGAUGCCAGAAAAAAGGGGAAAAACCCUACUAUUAUAUUUUGGUACUGGCAAAGGAGGUCCAAUGAUGUAGAUGCUCACCCGAGCCCUCAUUACUUUGAUAGUGCAUUGUCUUUGAGCUGUACGCCUUUUGGCGGCCUCUGGUCGAGCACCAAUUGCGUCGAGGCUCAAAAGAAAGCCGUCCCUUGGUGUGGACCAAUCAGUUUCAAGGACAAUGCAUAUAUUAUCAUCGCGUGUUUUGUUUGCAUUUGACUGCAGGUAUUGUGGUUAAUGCAGAUAUGAAUCCUCUUAAAAAAGGUUUCAGUUUUGUUGCCAGAAAAAGGGGAAAGACCCUAUUAUUAUAUUUUGAUACUGGCAAAGGAGGUCCAAUGAUGUCGAUGCUCACCCCGAGCCCUCAUUACUUUGAUAGUGCAUUGCCUUUGAGCUGUACGCCUUUUGGCGUCCUCUGGUCGAGCACCAAUUGGGUCGCGGCUCAAAAGAAAGCCGUCCCUUGGUGUGGACCAAUCAGUUUCAAGGACAAUGCAUAUAUUAUCAUCGCGUGUUUUUUGUUUGCAUUUGACUGCAGGUAUUGUGGUUAAUGCAGAUAUGAAUCCUCCUAAAAAGGUUUCAGUUUUGUUGCCAGAAAAAAGGGGAAAGACCCUAUUAUUAUAUGUUGGUACUGGCAAAGGAGGUCCAAUGAUGUAGAUGCUCACCCCGAGCCCUCAUUACUUUGAUAUUGCAUUGUCUUUGAGCUGUACGCCUUUUGGCGUCCUCUGGUCGAGCACCAAUUGGGUCGAGGCUCAAAAGAAAGCCGCCCCUUGGUGUGGACCAAUCAGUUUCAAGGACAAUGCACAUAUUAUCAUCGUGUUUUUUGUUUGCAUUUGACUGCAGGUAUUGUGGUUAAUGCAGAUAUGAAUCCUCGUAAAAAAAGGUUUCAGUUUUGUUGCCAGAAAAAAGGGGAAAACCCCUAUUAUUAGUAUGUAAGUUAUAUCUAUAACUGUUUUAUUGCCUCAAGGGAAUAAAAACCUAUUGUUAUUCAUCAUAUUUUUCCCAAAAUCCUCGCAAAGGUUACAGCAGCCUGUAGCCAGUGGUAACAACUUCAGUUGAAUGCGUUGUACUGUAAUACAUGGGUGCCGUGGUGGUUAUGAGAUGUUAUCUCCCUCGCUGUCCCGUUUACGAUGACGUUGCACAGGUCCGAGAUGUCGCACUGCCACCAGCCAACAAACAGGACACCUCGUUCAUUUUCCGUUUCAUAGAGUAAGUGUCCCCAACAUCUUCCGUGGAGUGUCCUAAUAUCGAUUCGAGGAGGGCUAGAUCUGGCAAUGCCAAUUGUGCACAACUACUAGCUCAGAUGAGGGGACAGUCGAUGCGCAGGCGAUGUAAAUCAAGCAUACCUCUCAACCCAUGCGGUUUACCCGUAUUCUUGUACAGGGAAAUUGAGUUUUCGGGUCCAUACGGCGCACAGCUGUGCCAAUACGGGCAACAAAAAUUAUAUUACACGCUUUCUAUUAACUCACUAUGUCUGUUGUAUCCUCAAAUCUUGUAACUCCAUUUUAACCCACUUCCCAAUGUGGUAUCGACUGCAAACUUGGUAUACUUUUGUCAUACUGAUGACAAUACUAUUAGCUAUCAUACAUUUAAAAAAAACAUAUUUUUAAACAAUCUUUUUUAUAUGUUAUGUUUUGCCUUGGGUCUAAUUGUCCACGGUCAACUGACGUCCGUAAAUCACCACGGUCCCUUACGUUAUGGCAAGCAUCGGGGGCACUUUCUGGAGUCGUGGAGUUCUUCCAUUACUAGUAGGGUACAUUUAAUUAAAACAUGAUGGCCACGUCGCUUCUGAAAAAUUUGCUGCGUAUCUCAGUGGGGCCUUGCCUGGAAAUAAAUAUUAUAUAUAACUCUAUAAGAUGUUUUUUGUGUUGGGUUAGAUCACGUAAAUGUGUCCAAUUGUAGUGGGUUUGCUCUCCAACACAAUCGGUUAGUGCUGAACUAGUAUACUACACUAUACACUAGUGCUCUAACUAGUAACUAAUUAGCACGUUCUGUUUACGUGACAAACCCUUUACUAAUUGGCUGUGUCGGGUUUAAAUACAUGCAUUUAUAUUUACGCGAUUUAACACGAAGAAAACCACUGUUAUGGAUAACAUUGGUCGAGAAAGCCCUACUACUAUGUUAAAUAGAUGUAACUCUUGGGUCACUGAUGUAUCUACGUGUAAUGCGAGCGUAAAUGGGGUUUGCUGCUGGGCUCUGGCCCAAUCACACGGGCCGGGGUGUUGGGGGGCAGGAGCCAGUAUGGGAAGGCCGGAUCUGACGAUCCGGAAGGAGAGGAGUCAGGAUCACGUGGGAAACAGGAUAUAGGGGGGAGCCCGGAAGGGAUUGGGGUCAGUUGCAGAAGUAAAGAGGCUGAGCCACGUUGGGUGGCCGGACGGGAUCCACGCCAUCAGCCACGUGGCCGCAGGACCUUCAGCACGCUGUCGGCCAGCGGUGUGCGGAGUGAGGGGGUGGAGGAGCUAUUGGAGGAGCGCGCGUGAGCGCGCGCGAGGAGACGCUGGUCCGCUAUCAGGACCAGCGGGGUGUGAGGAAGAGCAGAGGAGUUGACGAAGGAGCGCGUGCGGGGCGCGCGCGAGGAGACGCUGGUCCGCGGACAGGAUUAGCGGGGUGCGGAGAAAGAAACUAAAUAAGACCAACGGGGACCAGCAUUGCCUGACGAAGUCUUUUAUUAAAUACGUAAGGAAAUGUAUAGCAGCAGCUAAACAUUCUGAUUGAUGCCGAGGCACUCCCCUGCUCUCUCCUCCCUACAACCCACAUUGAGUGAUAGAACAUUUUGGCUUGUGUGUGUUUAGAGUUGUUGUAAACCCCUAGAAUCAUAGUUCAUGAUUGUCUCAAUGCUGGAUUUCCGAUAGCCGUGUUAAUUCUACGCCCUGUGUCUGUUAUUUUUAUGCUUUUAUUCAUAAAGAUUGCUUCAUUAGUUGUUCAACUGCGGUUCACUCACAUGGGAUGCUCCAGUUAGCACGGUUGGCUGCAUACUGUGCAAAAUAAGUUUUAAGUAUUUACCAACAUAAUCCAGAGGGUUUUUUGGGUUAAAUUGUGCAAAUAUAAAUGUGUCGUUAAACCCGCCAUCAUCCAACACAGCCAAUUAGUAAGGGGCUUGUCACAAACAAAACGUGGAAACCUACAACAAUGAGUACGACACAUUUAUAUUUACGCGGUCUUGCCCCCCAAAAAACCUCCCAUGGAUAUUGGUCGCGAAAGCCUUCGUGUUCAACUACAUAAUUGUGGUGAUGGUGGUGAUGAUGAUGUUGCGGUGCCUGCAUGAUGAAGUGGGGGAUGUUGAUGGUGGUGUUGGUGAUUUGUGAUGGAAAUAAUAGAAAUAAAGCAUACUAAAAUACAAUUAUUAUUUUAUUAUUUCCUUUCUACGUGACUUUACCGAAAGAACCAAGAAGAUGAAUCCCUGCAGUCACGAAAGCUUUAAAUCGAGAUUUGUGAUGGUUUUGACGGUGUUGGUGGUGAUGAUGUAGCGAUCUGGAAUGCUCUUCCUUCCAAUAUUAGGAAGUCACUGGAGCUAUGCACUUCUACAUCAUAAUAAUAUAACGAGCCAAGAAUGUGUGUCCCAC